CUCUUGUUCUCUUUCGCAGGCGCGCCGUCACUGCGGAGGGAGACAGGGUGUCCGGUGGAGGGGGGCCUAGCGCCAAAGAACGUGUGCAGAUCUGCAGGUGUGUGCGGGAGGCUGUGCAUGUGAGGAUGCCCAGGGUCCAUGUGCAAGAGAACACGUGUGUGUGUGUGAGGGUGUGCAUGUGAGGAUGCCCAGGGUCCAUGUGCACGAGAACAUGUGUGUGUGUAUGUGUGUGUGUGUGUGUGAGCAUGUAGAGCAGUGUGCGGGAGGAGUGUUCAUGUGAGGAUGCCCAGGUUCCAUGUGCAGAACGUGUGUGUGUGUGUGUGUGUGUGUGUGAGCAUGUGGAGCAGUGUGUGAACCCGAGUGUGAGGAGUGUCCACGUGGACUCACUGGAACGUGAUGUGCCACGGGUGAGCUGCGGGUCCCUGUGCCUGAGGCCUGGAAGCAGCACCUGGGCAGCUCUGAGCGGGGCCUGUGGUCCCCAGGGGUCAGAGCGGCCUGGUGGCCUCACGGGCCCGAGCUCGCCAGAGAGAAAGCCAAGCAGCCUAGAGGCAAUGAGUCCCCACCAGCCACACGUCAGUCCUGCGAUCCACUGGGUGCUGAGCUGCACCCAGAGGCCUGCUGCCUCCUCCCGCCCGCCGCCCC